rnacentral:rRNA from 1 species
UCUGUUGGGAGGCAUGCCUUUCAGUGGAGCAGCUAACGUUUUAAGUUGUCCGCCUGGGGAGUACGGCCGCAAGGCUAAAACUCAAAUGAAUUGACGGGGACCCGCACAAGCAGUGGAUCAUGUGGUUUAAUUCGAUGCAACGCGAAAAACCUUACCUACUCUUGACAUACUUGGAAGCUCUUGUAAUGAGAGUGUGCUUUUAAGAACCAAGAUACAGGUGCUGCAUGGCUGUCGUCAGCUCGUGUCGUGAGAUGUUCCGUUAAGUCGGAUAACGAGCGCAACCCUUACCCUUAUUUGCCAGCGAUUCGGUCGGGAACUAUAAGGGGACUGCCGGUGAUAAACCGGAGGAAGGUGAGGACGACGUCAAGUCAUCAUGGCCCUUACGAGUAGGGCUACACACGUGAUACAAUGGGGAAUACAGACGGACGCUAAGCCGCGAGGUGGUGCUAAUCCUAAAAAGUUCUUCGUAGUCCGGAUUGGAGUCUGCAACUCGACUCCAUGAAGUUGGAAUUGCUAGUAAUCGCGGAUCAGCAUGCCGCGGUGAAUACGUUCUCGGGUCUUGUACACACCGCCCGUCACACCAUGGAAGUGGAUUGCACCAGAAGUAGAUAGUCUAACCUUAGGGAGGGCGUUUACCACGGUGUGCUUCAUGACUGGGGUG